rnacentral:rRNA from 1 species
UACGAAGGGGGCUAGCGUUGCUCGGAAUCACUGGGCGUAAAGCGCACGUAGGCGGACUCUUAAGUCGGUGGUGAAAUCCUGGAGCUCAACUCCAGAACUGCCUUCGAUACUGAGAGUCUCGAGUCCGGGAGAGGUGAGUGGAACUGCGAGUGUAGAGGUGAAAUUCGUAGAUAUUCGCAAGAACACCAGUGGCGAAGGCGGCUCACUGGCCCGGUACUGACGCUGAGGCGCGAAAGCUAGGGGAGCAAACAGG